AUUGAACGCUGGCGGCAGGCCUAACACAUGCAAGUCGAGCGGAUGAAGGGAGCUUGCUCCUGGAUUCAGCGGCGGACGGGUGAGUAAUGCCUAGGAAUCUGCCUGGUAGUGGGGGAUAACGUCCGGAAACGGGCGCUAAUACCGCCUACGUCCUGAGGGAGAAAGUGGGGGAUCUUCGGACCUCACGCUAUCAGAUGAGCCUAGGUCGGAUUUGCUAGUUGGUGGGGUAAAGGCCUACCAAGGCGACGAUCCGUAACUGGUCUGAGAGGAUGAUCAGUCACACUGGAACGGAGACACGGUCCAGACUCCUACGGUAGGCAGCAGUGGGGAAUAUUGGACAGUGGGCGAAAGCCUGAUCCAGCCAUGCCGCGUGUGUGAAGAAGGUCUUCGGAUUGUAAAGCACUUUAAGUUGGGAGGAAGGGCAGUAAGUUAAUACCUUGCUGUUUUGACGGUACCAACAGAAUAAGCACCGGCUAACUUCGUG
rnacentral:rRNA from 1 species